rnacentral:rRNA from 1 species
GACAGAGGCCUCAAGCGUUAGGCGGAAUCACUGGGCUUAAAGCGUGUGUAGGCGGACAUUUAAGUACCUUGUGAAAUCCCACGGCUCAACCGUGGAACUGCUCGGUAUACUGGAUGUCUUGAGCCACUUAGGGGCGACCGGAACAAACGGUGGAGCGGUGAAAUGCGUAGAUAUCGUUUGGAACGCCAAUGGUGAAAACAGGUCGCUGGGAGUGUGCUGACGCUGAGACACGAAAGCCAGGGGAGCAAACGGG